AGUACUUAGGUGGACCUGAGGGUGCUAGCCAGUGUUGGCUAGUCGAACGCUGUGGACAUUACUCCAGGAAGAACUAGUCAAGUGAGCUAGUUGGGCACUGUGGACUUCACUCCUGGAGGUACUAGCUAGUGGGGCUAGGGGAGUGCUGUGGUUGUUCGCUAUGGACUUCACUAUUGGAAGAUGCUAGCCAGUGGGGCUAGGUGAGCACUUUGGACAUUGCUGGUUGAGCAUACUAGCGAGUGUGUCGAGGAGGGGGAGUGUUUGAAAACAUCUCCAUAACGGCAACCAGUUUAAGGGCUAGUGAUGUGUGUUAACGUAAUUGAGAGGGUUACUGGAGACCCUCUUUACUGUUACUGGAGUUACUGGAGUUACUGGUUACUGGAUCUCGGUGAUCUGCCUUACUGUGUUUGCAUUCUUAUCAAGCAUUCUUGCAUUAUUCACGCAUUCCUGCAUUUUCUGCAAUUGCUUGAAUUGCAAUUUGAGUCCUAAGUGAGCACCCGUAUUGUUCAGUUAGUUCAUUACAUCAGCCCCAACGGCAAGGCGAGGACUCCUUGCUAUACUGCUGGCUGGACAGCUGUUUUUAAGUGUCACUUCGGGUUAUUAACAUAACGUCAAGAUUGUUGUGCCUUGUAUUAGGUUAAUUCUUUAUGAAUAAAUUGUUAUUGUUCCCAAAA